rnacentral:lncRNA from 1 species
UAUUCCCCUUUAAGCCUGGCUGAAGAAGCAAAACCAAACGGCGGCUCCAGGGCGAGGCAGGGCGAGGAGAAGGCCAAGCGCAGGCAGGCAUGUCUCUUCUCUCUUCUCUUCGCUCCCUCCCUGCUUUGCGGAAGGCUUCUACUGAGCCGGUGUGGUCCCCGCGGGGGGGGGGGCGGCGUCUCAAUGGCAUUUUUAAAAUGCUAGCAGAUCGAUGGCCAUGCCUCUCCCUCCCUCCCUCUUCCGCUCUGAUUGGCUGAGAGGCAUGCCAACAUGGCUUCUCCUCUCAGAGGGGCUACAGCUACAUCCGAAGACAUCAGAAACAAACGAAAAAAGCCUUGACAGUUCUCUAAUGAUCGGCAACAUUUCCAUCACCCCCAGAAGAUAUGAUUGGCUGAACAUGACAUUGACAGACUUGGGGACUGAAGCCACAAGGAGGAAACUGCAUAAUGACUGAACUCAGAACAUUUAAGGUUAGAAUAUGGCAUUAUUAUUUUUUGCCACCUUUUGCCACUCAUUCCAGAAAUUCAUGGGGAUUUGUGGCUAAUUUGGGGGCAUUUGGAACUAAGUUAUAUUUGAAAAGAAAAGAAAAAUAAAUGUUGACAAAUCAAUGCUGUAAACUAUCUUGUCCUGUUUUUAAAAGAUGUUAGCAUGCAUUCCUUCUUUAAAAUGAAAUGGAGCUUGUAUUUUCAGAACAAGAGGCUGAACACCCUAUCCUGUAUCACUGAGGACCAAGCUGUUUGAAAGGCCAUUGUCUCUCCAGUAAGCCUGUCUGGGCUUUAAGAUCUUUGAGUGAAAUAAACAAACCAAUAAAUAAAUAAUACUUUAUUUGUAUUCUGCUUUAUCUUCCCGAGGGCACUCAGGGUGGAUUCCAGCAAACACAGACACAAGGCAAACAUUCAAUGCCUAGAAACAACAAACACAGAUAAAAGGCAAAAGUUUCAUUUCCCCUUCCAGCUCUGGGGAGUGGUGCUCAUCUUCGGCUCUGGGGGGUGGUGUUCAUCUCAAUUUCUAAGCUGAAGAGCCUGCAUUGUCCAUAGACACCUCCUAGGUCAUGUGGCUGGCAUGACUGCAUGGAGUGCCAUUUACCUUCCAGCUAAGGUGAUACCUAUUGAUCUACUCACAUUUGCAUGUUUUCCAACUGCUAGGUUGGCAGAAGCUGGGGCUAACAGUGGGAGCUCACCCCGUCUUGCAGAUUCAAACCGCCAAAUUUCUGGUCAGCAAGUUCAGCAGCCGAGUGGUUUAACCUGUUGCGCCACCGCGGCCCCUAAGAGAGAUUCAUAAAUUUGGUUAAUAUUGUUUCUCUCUAAAUUCUCCUCUCAAUUCUGCCUCCUUCACAGACAUAUUUGCUAGGACAAUAUCAGAGGGUUUUUGGGAAUCUGUGAAAGUCCCUGUGGUGUACAGUGAGGUGUGAAGCUAAAUGUGGCCCCCUCUCUAUUGUCCUACCAGCACCCAUAUAUAUUUUUCUUCCUAAAACCUAUGGUACUUGAACUGGGUUAUUUCAUUUUCAUUUUAGUUAUGGUAAUAAUAAUAAUGAAUUUAUUUGACCAGUCAUAUGACCAUUUCAAAAUACAACACAAAUAAAAACAAGGCAAAAAGGAGGAGAGGACGGCAGCUGACCUAUUUACAGUUUGGUUAUGAAUUUUAAUUACACUAGGCCAUCAUCUGUUAUGGUGGAAACCAUGAUUUUUUUAAAAAAUACUUUUUUAACCUGAGAAAACACCUUUUAGGAAUCUCCAGGCUCUCCAAUGCAACUUUAUGUCACCUUUUGCUCUGGAGGGCCGAAAGAUUUAUAGAGAGACCCAGGCAUGUAGCUUCAGCCCUCCCCCCUGAAAUUCUCAGGAUGGUCCA